rnacentral:rRNA from 1 species
GUAGUGAUAUGCUUGUUUCAAAGAUUAAGCCAUGCAUGUCUAAGUAUAAGCGAACUUAUACAGUGAAACUGCGGAUGGCUCAUUAAAACAGUUUGAAUUUAUUUGAUGAAUGUAUGAGAAUACUACUUGGAUAACCGUAGUAAUUCUAGAGCUAAUACAUGCAACGACGCCCGACCGUUUCACUACGGAAGGGCUGUAUUUAUUGGAUACCAAAACCAUCCUUCCCUCGGGAAGUUUUGUUUGAUGAUUCACAAUAACUGAUCGGAUCGCCACUGUGGUGGCGACAGGUCAUUCAACAUUCUGCCCUAUCAGCUUUCGAUGGUUGUGUAGUGGACAACCAUGGCCAUAACGGGUAACGGAGAAUCAGGGUUCGAUUCCGGAGAAGGAGCUUGAGAAUUGGCUACUACAUCUAAGGAAGGCAGCAGGCGCGCAAAUUACCCAAUCCCGAUUCGGGGAGGUAGUGACAAAAAAUAACAAUACCGGGCCUUUUUGGGCUUGGUAAUUGGAAUGAGGGAGAGUUAAACGGACCAUCGAGUAUCCAUUGGAGGGCAAGUCUGGUGCCAGCAGCUGCGGUAAUACCAGCUCCAAUAGCGUAUAUUAAAGUUGUUGCAGUUAAAAAGCUCGUAGUUGGACUUGUGUGCGCUGUCCGCGGGUGGCCUGCGCCCAAAAGGGCGUUUCGGUUCGGCCCCGGUGGCGCCUUGAAAUCUGCAGCUGGGGGGACGUUGGCCUUAACUGGUCGGCGACCGCACGCCGGCUGCUCGGUUACUGUGAGAAAAUUAGAGUGUUCAAGGCAGGCAUUGGGUGCAAUUGAAUACAUUAGCAUGGAAUAAUAAAAUAUGGCUCCUGCCGUAUUUUGUUGGUUUUGACUGGUGGGAGUAAUGAUUGAUAGGGACGGUUGGGGGUGCUAGUAUUGAGCGGCCAGAGGUGAAAUUCAUGGAUUCGCUCAAGACUAACUUAUGCGAAAGCAUUCACCAAGGACGUCCUCUUUAAUCAAGAACGAAAGUUGGGGGAUCGAAGACGAUCAGAUACCGUCGUAGUCUCAACCAUAAACUAUGUCGACUUGGGAUCGGCGGUAGUUUUUUCAUUAAGACACUGUCGGGACCACGGGAGAAAUCAAAGUGUCUGGACUCUGGGGGAAGUAUGGUCGCAAGGCUGAAACUUGAAGGAAUUGACGGAAGGGCACCACCAGGAGUGGAGCCUGCGGCUUAA